CAUGAACAGGAGGAGAGAAUAGCAUCGUCCGGACUCCGGUGGCUCCUCUCCCAGAUUCCCCUUCUUAUGGCUCUCCUCGCGCGCUGUCUGCGAAGUUCCCCUUUUUUAUAGUUUGGGAACAUAUCUAGUGUAAUCAUAACUUUAUGAAAACUGAUGCAAACCACGAAAAAAAAUUUGUCUAAAUUCAUUAAAAAAAUCACACAUGUAGAUGAUAUGAUGAUAUACAAUUUUGUAAAAUAUUUUGUCCAAACUCGAUUUUUUUUGUGAGAUAUAAAAAUAACAAAUUUCAAUUAUAUCUCACAAACAAAGUCGAGUUUGGACAAGCUAUUUUACAAUGUUGUGUAUUAUCAUAUCAUCUACAUGUGAUUUUUUUGAUGAAUUUAGAUGACUUUUUUGUCGUAGUUUGCAUGAGUUUUCACAAAAACUAUGAUUUGCACUAGAUACGUUCCCUUUUAAGUUUUGCUCUUCUCUUUUGUUUCAUCAAGGUUCCCAAUCAGUUUAUAUAUGUUGCUCUACUUCCUGCCGAUCUCAUGCUUUUUUUUUUUGCAUGUUCCAUCUUUGUCCUUGGCCUGUCGGAUGGUUGGACUGGAAGUGGAGCUCCUAUCUUUCCAAUGAAAAGGUCGUGUUGAUCGGGUGGUACAGCUGCUCGUUCAUGGUUCCCACUAUCCUAUCUCAUCCCCUGGAGGUUUACCUGAGCGUUUGAGGUUUGAGACAUAGAGAGAGAGAGAGGGCGAUGACUGCGGUUUGGCUUGAGAUAGGCUUGUGGCUUGCAUGACCGAGGAGCCGCACCGUCCCCUCGCUGGCCGCUCUUUGGAUUGAAGGGAGCUCUGCGUCUCGAUCCCAUCAGGCCCUCCUGCUUCCGUUUCUGCCUGAGCUUAUCCGUGCUGCUGGAGGCUAAGCAGGUGAUCAGGUACUUCGACGUCGCUUUAUUCCUUUGCUGGUGCGAUGUUAUGUCAUCACUUGUUUACUGCUAUUCUGUUUUUGCCUUCCCCGUCUGGAUUUGGGGUGGUGCUCUUGGUUUGGAUCUCCCACUUGUUACUUGUAAUGCUGACUGGGGUUGGCCUCUUCUUGCCCGCUCUCUCUUCCCACCUGAAAGAUUCGCACCAGGUGCCUGGAUCUGAGCUUCCAAGUGGUGCCCUCGACAUCCUCUAGUUUUUCUUUUUCUUUUUGCCUUGUCGCUGUUGCUGAGGUUUGCAGUUGCAGCUCACCCAGGGGUGUUGGCGCUGAACAGGUAGCUGCUGCUGGAGGCUAGCCUUUUCUGUGGCGACGGCGCAGACGAAGGCCAGAUGCCCAAUAUUUUUAAACCGGAUUCGCUCAACGUGUCAUUUUUGCAUCAAUUUUUAAACCGGAUUGUUUCAGUCUGCCGGGCUGGACUACAUUGUUUCUGCAUGUUGUAUUGAUGUAGGUGCAGCCAUUCGGUCGGUCCCUAUUUACCAUUGGCUAUGCGCCUAUGCUGUUUAUUGUAUGGUUUUUGCAUAAUGUAUUCGAUGUGCAUUUUGUUAUAUUAUACACACAGAAAAAAGAAGUAUACCAUUGGUUAUUAGGGCAAAAUAUAAUCGAAAAGCAUCAUUCUGUA